UAAUUUCAGUGUAAGUCUGUCAUCUAUGC
rnacentral:piRNA from 1 species